GUGGGGAAUAUUGCACAAUGGGGGAAACCCUGAUGCAGCCAUGCCGCGUGUGUGAAGAAGGCCUUCGGGUUGUAAAGCACUUUCAGCGAGGAGGAAAGGUUGGUAGCGAAUAACUGCCAGCUGUGACGUUACUCGCAGAAGAAGCACCGGCUAACUCCGUGCCAGCAGCCGCGGUAAUACGGAGGGUGCAAGCGUUAAUCGGAAUUACUGGGCGUAAAGCGCACGCAGGCGGUUGGAUAAGUUAGAUGUGAAAGCCCCGGGCUCAACCUGGGAAUUGCAUUUAAAACUGUCCAGCUAGAGUCUUGUAGAGGGGGGUAGAAUUCCAGGUGUAGCGGUGAAAUGCGUAGAGAUCUGGAGGAAUACCGGUGGCGAAGGCGGCCCCCUGGACAAAGACUGACGCUCAGGUGCGAAAGCGUGGGGAGCAAACAG
rnacentral:rRNA from 1 species